UGCAACUCAUUUGGUGUCAUCCCUUGG
rnacentral:piRNA from 1 species